ACGGAAGGCAGCAGCGAGGAAUAUUGGUCAAUGGACGGAAGUCUGAACCAGCCAAGUCGCGUGAAGGAUGAAGGUAUUAUGUAUUGUAAACUUCUUUAGCAGUGGAGUAAUAAGGUGGUCGAGACCACUGAUGCAAGUACACUGAGAAUAAGGAUCGGCUAACUCCGUGCCAGCAGCCGCGGUAAUACGGAGGAUCCGAGCGUUAUCCGGAUUUAUUGGGUUUAAAGGGUGCGCAGGCGGCUUUUUAAGUCAGUGGUUAAAUCGUGACGCUCAACGUCAUCACGCCAUUGAUACUGGAGAGCUUGAUUGCGGUCGAGGUUUGCGGAAUUCGUUGUGUAGCGGUGAAAUGCAUAGAUAUGACGAAGAACACCGAUUGCGUAGGCAGCAGACCAGGCCGUAAAUGACGCUCAUGCACGAAAGUGCGGGGAUCGAACAGGAUUAGAUACCCUGGUA
rnacentral:rRNA from 1 species